UACGGAGGGUGCAAGCGUUAUCCGGAUUCACUGGGUUUAAAGGGUGCGUAGGUGGGUCUGUAAGUCAGUGGUGAAAUCUCCGUGCUUAACAUGGAAACUGCCAUUGAUACUAUAGGUCUUGAAUUUUCUGGAGGUUAGCGGAAUAUGUCAUGUAGCGGUGAAAUGCUUAGAUAUGACAUAGAACACCAAUUGCGAAGGCAGCUAACUACGGGAACAUUGACACUGAGGCACGAAAGCGUGGGGAUCAAACAGG
rnacentral:rRNA from 1 species